GAAAUGUACAAAGCCAGCAAGUAUGAGGUGUCUCCUGAUUUGAAGCAUGUGCUGCUGGCCUACAACGUUGCACCGGUGUACCAGCAUUCUUACACAGCCUUCUACAUCAUCUGCAGUCUGGAUACCCCGGCGACCUGGAACUUGAACCCUCCAGAAGUGCGAAAUGCUCAGCUGCAGUUUGCAGGCUGGGGACCCCAAGACCAGCAACUG